AGUUUAAAUAUUCCAGCUUUGACAAGGCGUAUGGGGUCUCUUUGGGCAAAAUAGUACAUAAAACUGUGGCGGUGCUGUACCGAAGCAUUCUCUUGAGCAUGCUUUAACUUUGCAGCACUGUGAAAGGAUAAAGUGUCUGAGCUACACUUGCACUGUGCUAAGAUUUUAGGAUAUUUGUCAAUGAAGAGAAGGACAGAACUGAAUUACAGCUACCAAACCACUACACUGAUCUGUUUCACAGCUCACCUAGCCUGUUAUUCAGUUUGUUCCAGUGUACUUCUAUUAGCUUACCAAUCCCAUAUACUCAAGCUGAUCCGGCCCGUCGGACUGUCAGAACCCCAUUGGCUCAGGUUAAGAUGGACUUGUCACCAUUUUCCUAUCCUCUUCUCACCACUGAUUCUUUCUGGUCUUUUCUAACCAUUGGACUUUCUAUUUUUCUCAAGGUGUGGUCACACUUGACUUUGUGGUCAAUUCAGUUCCAGUAUAUGCAUACAAAUCAAAGAGAUAAGUAGUCUGACCUGCAAAUUCAUAUACUGUAAAUGUUUGAGCAAUAUGGAUUCUAAACAUUACAGAUUGACCUUCUGAAUGGCAUAAAACAAAGAAUACAAACUUCAAAGUUGGAAUGGAUCGCAGUCCCGCAGGACUGAUAGGAAUAUGUUAUAUUUUAACAUUUGAAAUGAUCAAUUUAUCGUUUGUGAUGUAUUGUUUAUUAACAACACAAUCCCUAGAGUGGUGGUUCUCAACCAGGCCCUCCCAGUGCCCACAACAAUAUUCAAAAGCCUCAUCACUUUUACAGUUGUUUUGUGAUUUACUCAACUUUUUUUUUUUACAUACUUUUAAGUAUUUUUAAUCUUGGCAUGAUCAGGAAAAUAUAUGUUUAUAAUAAAAAUAACUCCCAUGAAGUUAGGAGGGUUAGGAAGAUUUUCAGGGGUUUUUUUUACCUUCUUUUUUCAAAGCUUAGUGUGACUGCAUCUUCACUAUUCUAAUAUUUUAAAAUUUGUAUUUCUAUAUACAGUAAUGAUCAGGCCCACACUGAAUCUGCACCCGCAGAAUAAUAAUAAUAAAAAAAAAAAUAUAUUAUCUAGAAAUCUGAACGCAUAUCAUUAAAAUUUGUUGUGUUUUAUUUACUAUUUUGACUAAUGUGAUUAUGCUUUUAGUUACCAAUAAGAGUGCAUUAAUGUUACUGUAGUAUGUCUAGCGUAUAAUAAUAAUAAUAAUAAUAAUAAUAAUAAUUCCUUACAUUUUUUAUAGCGCUUUUCUGGGCACUCACCACCUGUGUGCAGCAUCCACCUGGAUGAUACGACGGCAGCCAUAUUGCGCUAGAACGCCCACUGCACACCAGCUUAUUGGUGGAGAGGAGACAGAGUGAUGAAACCAAUCAGUGUAUGGGGAUGGUUAGGAGGCCAUGAUGGUCAGAGGGAAAUGGGCAAAUUUGGCCAGGAUGCUGGGGUUACACCCCUAGUCUUUUUCGAAGGACAUCCUGGGAUUUUUAAUGACCACAGAGAGUCAGGACCUCGGUUUAACGUAUCACCUGAAAGACGGUGCUUUUUGUCAGUAUAGUGUCCCCAUCACUACACUGGGGUGUUAGGACCCACACAGACCACAGGGUGAGCCCCCCUGCUGGCCUCACUAACACCUCUUCCAGCAGCAACCUAGUUUUCCCAGGAGGUCUCCCAUCCAGGUCCUGACCAGGCUCAGCCCUGCUUAGCUUCAGUGGGCAACCAGUCUUGGGCUGCAGGGUGAUAUGGCUGCUAACCAACAUAUUUUAUGUUUAAUUGCUUCUGCAAACCUUUCUGAAAAAAUCAGUUCAGAAACUCUGAAAGAAGUCUGUACAAUAAAUCUGGUCCUGCUCAUGAUCACUUUGCCUCUUCAUGCAAGAUGUGCUGGGUAUGUGAUAUUUUUUUCCCCUGUGGGGUACUAAAACAGCAACAGUUGGUGGAAUACUAUGGAGUAUUCCAUGAGGGUGUUUCUCCCACACAGGUGCUGAUUUGUAGGGUUUCCGUAUGUAGUGUAAUACCCUGAUUAGCUCCUGGCUCUGU
ensembl:lncRNA